ACUCCUUGCCUGUUAAUCUUUUAAAAAGGAUGACCGCUUGAGAGAAUGUCUAAGAUCUCUGAAGCUAGCUUAAAAGGAUGGCAAUGACAGAGUUAAAAGGGCAUUCCAAACCCUGUUGAUUUAUAUCAGAAACGUCGCAAAGAGUCCCGAUGAGGAAAAGUUCAGGAAGAUCCGACUUGGUAACCCGAAGUUCCAGGAAAGGGUUGGGAACUUGAAAGGAGGGAUUGAGUUCCUCGAGCUUUGCGGAUUCGAGAGAAGUGAAGGGAACAAGUUCUUGGUUUCCCCUCGUGAUAAAGUUGAUAUACGGCUGCUUAACUAUGCUGGUUCUUUUGUUAAAUUCUGCAAUGACAAAUCCCUUCUUCGGUCUUCUUGAA